CUCCAGUUGGAUGCAUGUCCUUCUGGGAAAGAUUCAUCGGUAUGGGAUGGGGUCGCGUCCUAUCAGCUUGAUGGCGGGGUAACGGCCCACCAUGGCUUCGACGGGUAGCCGGCCUGAGAGGGCGACCGGCCACAUUGGGACUGAGAUACGGCCCAGACUCCUACGGGAGGCAGCAGUGGGGAAUAUUGCACAAUGGGCGCAAGCCUGAUGCAGCGACGCCGCGUGCGGGAUGACGGCCUUCGGGUUGUAAACCGCUUUUGACUGGGAGCAAGCCCUUCGGGGUGAGUGUACCUUUCGAAUAAGCACCGGCUAACUACGUGCCAGCAGCCGCGGUAAUACGUAGGGUGCAAGCGUUAUCCGGAAUUAUUGGGCGUAAAGGGCUCGUAGGCGGUUCGUCGCGUCCGGUGUGAAAGUCCAUCGCUUAACGGUGGAUCCGCGCCGGGUACGGGCGGG
rnacentral:rRNA from 1 species